rnacentral:lncRNA from 1 species
UAUUUACAAAUCACUAAUAUAAUUAUGGAAGAUUUAUAUAUCUUCUAGAUUAGCUACUUGAGAUUGAUUUGGACAAACGCUGACUGCACAUAUAUGUGGGCUCUUGAAACGUUUGACGAUGAUGAUGAACUGGGGCCAAUAGAGCUAGUGACGGGUCAUGGCGGAGAUCAAAGAUCUCGUGUUGAUGACACAGUGAGAUGGCUCGUGUUGGGCCAGCGGAACCGACAAUUGAAAGUGAUGGGUGACGAUCAAGACGGUGCGAUGGAGGUCACAAAAGAUGGUGAACCUUGUCUGAGGAAGAACAAAAUAAGAUGGCUCUCUUCUUACUUCUUUCUUCUUUUUUUUUUUUUUUUCUUGCAAAAAUAUAUUAAAAAUUAGUAAGCAAUAAAGCUUUGAAAAAAAAAAAAAAUUUGAAGCUCUAUGGCUUAAGAAUAACAAGAUUUUUUUUUUAAUUGUAGAAACACGUAAGAAAAAUAUAUUUAGAAGCUUAUAGCUUUAGAUUCAGAGGCAUAUGAUAUGUUUGAAUUGUAAAAGCACUUGGCUUAAGAUUUAGAGGUCUAUGCUGGAUUUGAUUUAUGAAAGCACUUUUAGCUUAAAACAAAACAAAGAAAAAAAAAAGAAAAAGAAGAAGCCAUUGUCUUAUAAACAGGAACGAAGCCAAUCGUUAGAUCAUUGUGACUAUAAUAUGAUGAGAGUUUUAAGAAUUUGAAGAAGUUAUAUUUACCCUCAUAAGGAUGUAGUCUCAAUAUACAAGCAUAUAUAUAUAGGAAUAUCAUUUAACCUACUUUCCUAACUAACGGGAUCAUAUAGAAUAUUUACAUAAGGGGUGUAUUGGAACAAUGAUUUUGAAUUUUUUUGUUAAAUCCACCUGUUAUUCAAUUAGUGAUUUUAAAAAAAAAAUUUAAUUUUCAUUUUAUUAAAACUGAAAUUUAUGUAAAAUCAUUCCAAAUAAUUCCAAAUCUCUUGUUAUUCAAUGAAGAAUUUAGAAAACUCAUAUCAAAUUCAUUGUUAUUCAAACUUCACUAUUUGUAUUAAAAGCUUAUUUGUAUCAACAAACUUCAUUAAUCAUUAUCAUGGCUUUUAUCCCAUCUAUUUAAGGUAUUAUGUCUAAAGUUCAAAGGAAAGGAUUCUACGUUCGCUCGUUCCGUCUCUAAGCUUUGAUUAUGUGUUGAGAUUGAACUUUCUGAUUGAUCCUGCAAAGAAGAAGAAUGACAUCGGUGAGAAGGAAACAACGAUGAUGAAGAAGAUUGGAAACUAGAAGAAGAAGACGAAGUGGUCGGCUUGGUCGCAAGAGAGAGACGUGAGAAGAACAAAAAAGAAAAGUCAACAAGAGAAGUGGCUUUUUGUGUGUUUGUCUUAUUGGGCCUAUGAAGUUAGUACAUGCCCAAAGUGGUGAAGUAUGUUUUGUUGUG